CCCCUAGCCUUCCAAGCUAACGAUGCGGGUUCGAUUCCCGCUACCCGCU
rnacentral:tRNA from 48 species